rnacentral:lncRNA from 1 species
AGUGCAACCGGUCAAGUUAAAGCAAACAGAUGGCAUAUGCACAGACAAACGUGCAUAUUUACAAGCACAUGCAUAUAAAAACAUGCAUACUGUUAUGUGAACGCAUAUGCAACUUUUCCAUUUACAGUAUUUCAGACCCUAUUUAGUGUCUUUUUUUCUUAUAGAUCUGAAGACAAACACAGAUGCACAUUUCUUUAUCUCACAGCUAAUUGAUAUUAUGUCUCUCUCAGGGGCCUCCCGGGCCUGCAGGGCCACCAGGACCAGCGGGUUUGGGAGGACCUCCAGGAGUGAGCGGACCACAGGGACCCCCGGGGCACAAUGGUUUACCAGGAAGACCUGGAGAGAAGGGCACCCCUGGAGAACCAGGAAAAGCUGCAGACAUUUCUGA